rnacentral:lncRNA from 1 species
GACCUCGUGGCGCUCAGGCGUGGCCUCCGAGGGCGGAAGCGUCUGCGCGAUUGUGGGCAGGCAGAAGGCGGACGCCCUCCCGGAGGAUGCCUCUCUAGGUUACGCGUUCGAUUUCAUGGCUUGGUCUUAAAAAGAGGCCCCAAGACAGGGUUCCAGUCUAUAAUGGAAGGUUCCUGUGACAUUUAUAAAGGAACGGCUAUGAUCUGCUGGCUAAAUGCGUUGCUUCCUUCUGAGGAGCCCUAGUUCCGGCUGUCGGCAGCUCACCCGGAGUGAGGGAAUUUCUCUGCUCCCUGGCAGCUGAGUGUAACUGUUUAACUAAGUUCCGGUGAGUAACGUAAGUGUCAGUGUUGUGUGGCAGCUUUGGGGGAGUGUCCUUUACAAGAGCUGGCACACGCCUUUGGCAUCUCCUUAACUCUUG